GCUAUUUAUUCUCUGAUUUGGCUUUGUUUUUCUUCUGGGUUUCCCUGUUUUGUCCGAAUCGCUUUUUGUUUUUCUUCUGGGUUUCCCUCGUAACGUCUGUGGAAUCAACGUUGCUCUUUUGGGUUGGUUUGGUGCUGUGAUCAACUAAAUCACAAAAUCGGCAAAGCGUCGCAUCACUCGCCGUUGUCAUUUUCUCUUCCCGGAAGGGCCGAUCAUCCUCUGAGAGGCUCAUCUUCUCGCUUAGAUUUAGAUUACAGGGAGAGAAAAUUGAGCGACUCUAUUUUUUCGUGGGUGAUUAUUACUUGUGUCAAAAGAAGGGGUGGGUUGGAAGUUUGGUGCUUGAGGGCGUGUGGUGUGGAUCCGGUGCUCAUGGAUAAAGUCCUUCACAAGCUCCGGAAACUGGACGCGUACCCUAAACUGAGCUCAGCGAUUCAGCUACGGUAGCAGAUUUGCAGGAGGCGAUUCAUCAACGAAUGUUUCGUGUCAUUCGGGGGAGGGGGGAAUAUAAUUAGGCUGUGAUGAUGGGGUUAAUUCAGAAGUGUAAUUGGGGCCCCAUCGAUAUGGCGGGGUAAUCGUUACUUGAAUAGGCCAAGUUGCAGUUUGUGGUACUCUCCAUAAACUGCAAUUUCCAUUCGGGUGAGGUUUUGCAGCCAUUCGAUGUUGGACUCCUAGAUUACGCAUGUUGUCCAUAUUUACACCAUUCUGAGCCACAUUUAUUGUCUUAUUCAAUAUGGGGAACCGGAUGGGAAUGCUCAUAUUUUUUGUUUUGUGAUUUGCAUACUGUUUGUUGUUGUUUGUAUUCUAUUGCGAAGAAGGAAUCAGAUCAGCGCAUUAUGAUGAUGGAUGUGAGUGUCAUGCCAGAAAUGCAACGGCUAUAUUUCCAGCAACUCCAGAGGGAAAUCAUGAUGAGACGCAGUAAUGCCCGAGAUUUGGAUUGAUUGUAAUGUAAUUUUUUUAUUGUACUUUUGAUGAUAGUUUCCUGUUAUACUUUUGUGCAAGUAAAUUGGAUGCCAUAAUUUCAGAAACAAUUAUAAGUUAUGCCAAAUUUAAUCCACUAUUACAUGAAAGAAA